ACUUUAUAAAGCUAUGCGGGACUUCCGCUCUGCCUCUCACCCAACUGUAGCCGGAGACGUGUGCCGUUGUGUCUGUGGAGGCCGAGCCCCCGAGAUGCUGACAGUGGAGUCGUGCUGACGGAAGGAACACGUGGAGCUGCUGACCUGCAGGGGGCAGCAAACGCCUACAAUGAAUGUUCAGUGACAUGGAGCUGGUCUGGAUGAAUGGGAGCACGUGGAGCUGCUGACCUACAGGGAGCAGCAAACGCCUACAAUGAAUGUUCAGUGACAUGGAGCUGGUCUGGAUGAAUGGUUAAGAUCCCUGGCUCAGUCAGGUGCACCGUGUCUGCUCAACAUGUUUAAGGUUAUGAAUAGAACUUGAAGUUUGACUAAAGUUUUUAAUGUCAUGUAUAUUUAUCAUUCAGUUGUCGUAAGAUGGAUAUCGCUAUACUGUAAUGUAUUACCUUUAGUAUUUAGUUCGCAAAAUCAUGUAAAGAUGUUGGAAUAAAAUUAGCUGUUGCUCCA